rnacentral:rRNA from 1 species
UACGGAGGGUGCAAGCGUUAAUCGGAAUUACUGGGCGUAAAGCGUGCGUAGGCGGUUUGUUAAGUCCGUUGUGAAAGCCCUGGGCUCAACCUGGGAAUUGCAGUGGAUACUGGCGAGCUAGAGUGCGGUAGAGGAUGGUGGAAUUCCCGGUGUAGCGGUGAAAUUCGUAGAUAUUCGGAAGAACACCAGUGGCGAAGGCGACACACUGGGCCAUUACUGACGCUGAGGCGCGAAAGCGUGGGGAGCAAACAGG